GAUUUAUGUAUUUAUUUGAAAGGUAGAGUUACAGAGAUAUAGGGGCAGAGAGAGGUCUUCCAUCUGCUGGUUCACUCCCCAGAUGGCCACAAUGGCCGAAGCUGCACCGAUCUGAAGCCAGGAGCCAGAAGAUUCCUCCAGGUCUCCUGCGUGAGUGCAGGGCCCCAAGGACUUCGGCCAUCUUCCACUGCCCCUCCAGGCCAUAACAGAGGAUCAGAAGUGGAGCAGCUGGGUCUUGAACUGGCGCCCACAUGGGAUGAUGGCACUGCAGGCGGCGGCUUUACACACUAUGCCACCGCACUGGCCCCCAGAAAGUUUCUUUUAAGACAAAGAGAUAUGGAUACUUACAGGGCAUUUUGUCAAGCAUGAAAGUUAUGCUUACAUACUAAUAUAAGGUAAAGUCAAACUUUUUAGAUCAAAAUUGCUCUUGCGCAUCAAAAAGAAAAUCAUAAGUAACUUAGCAGUACAGCAUGGAAAUUUCCACAGCGUUUUGCUGAAACCAGAUUUACCAUUGCUGCUUAUUUGGUAAAUGUUCCUCCAUCCAUGUGUCUACCCAUCCAUUCAUUCAUCCAACCAACCAUCAAAGCAUCAUUCUUAUCAUCGAUAUUCUAUUGGCAGAUCCUCAUCUAGCUCAGUUUGAAAUAGAGUCCUAGGCCUCUCUUUUCUCUGAGACAAUCAUAGCAAAUAAAAUAAUUUCACUCUCCAAUUAUUUUGAAGAUUUAUUUUUAUUUAUUUGAAAGGCAGAGUUACAGAGAGAGAGAGAGAGGGAGAAUUUUCUAUCCAUUGGUUUAUUCUCUAAAUGGUCACAACGGCCAGGGUUGGGCCAAGCUGAAGCCAGGAGCUUGGAACUCUAUCCAGGUCUCCCACGUGGGUGGAAAGGCCCGAGUACUUGGGCCAUCUUCUGCUUCUCCAGGCGAAUUAGCAGGGAGCUGGUUUGGAAGUGGAGUAGCCGGGAUAUGAACUGCACACCCAUAUGGGAUGCUGGUAUAUAGGUGGUGGCUUAGGCCACUGUGCCACAACUCUGACCCCUUAAAUGGAUUUUAUAAACUGUAUUGCAGUGCUGCGUCUGCAAAAUCUUCAUCAAAAUCCUGAGGCUCAAGUAUGGUGUGAGUGCAUUAGAGACUUAAACACAGGAUAAUGUGUCCCCACACACCACUUCAGACCCUGUUCUAGAUUUAUGUAAGCCAAAUGCAGAACUGUCUGUAUCUCUGAACAUCUGGAUUGAAACCAGCGAGUUGCGGGCGGGGAGAAGGAAGGGCUUGCUGUCCACCUGGGUUCAGGUAAUGAUAAGCUGUGUUAGGUUUCUGUGGCUGCUGUAACCAAUUGCUACAACCUGAUAGCAUAAAAUCAAUUUAUUCUUUCACAAUUUUGGAGGCCAGAAGUUCAAAAUCAAGAUGUUGUCAGGAGUGCAUUCGGGCUGGUGCUGUGGCAUAGCAGAUAAAGCCACCUCCUGCAGAGUGCCUGGUUCCACAGCUGGCUCCACUUCUGAUCUAGUUCCCUGCUAGUACACCUGGGAAAGCAGCAAAGAUGACCCAAAUACUUGGGCAACCAUUUGGGAAGUGAAUCAGUGGGUGGAAGACCUCUCUCUCUCUCUCUCUCUCUCGCUCUCUCUAACUCUGCCUUUCAAAUAAAAUAAAUGCAUUUUUUUUUCUAUUUGCUUUCUGAGCAUUUAGUUUGUGCACUGAUUCUAAAUUAUAUUUUCUUUCAUUUAACUUUCUCUACAUUAUUUUCCAUCACUCUUGUUUUUGUUAACAUUUUGCUAGCAAAGCUCUCUUGCUCUUUUACUUAAUUCUAAAAAAAGAUUUAUUUACUUAUUGAAAGGUAGAACUACAGUAAGAGAGAGAGGGAUGGGGGGAGAGAGUGAGAGAUUUUCCAUCCACUGGUUCACUUCCCAAAUGGUCACAAUGGUCAGGGCUGAGCCGAAGGAAGCCGGGAGCCAGGAGCUUCUUCCAGGACUCCCACGUGGGUGCAGGGGCCCAAGUACUUGGGCCAUCCUCUGCUGAUUUCCCAGGUGCAUUAGCAGGGAACUGGAUCAGAAGUGGACCAGCUGGGACUCCAACUGGUGCCCAUAUGGGAUGCUUGUACUGAAGGCAGUAGCUUUACCCUCUAUGCCAUAGCACCAGCCCUCAAAAUAAAUAAAUCUUAAAAAAAAAAAAAACUGUAUUCCCUCUGGAGGCUCUAGAAGAGAAUCUGUUCUGUUUUCCAGUUUCUGAUGUCCAUCAGCAUUCCUUGACGUGGGAAAACAACACUCCAAACCCUGCCUCUUCGGACAUCCUCAACCUCCUCUUCUGUCCAUCAAAUCUCCCUCUGUCUCACUCAUAUAAAGACACUUGUCAUUGCAUUCAAGGCCCAUCCAGCAAGUUCCUACUCUCAAAAUCCUUAACCACAUAUUUUUAUAUAAGAGAAUCCACCCAUGACUAGAGGUAUCUAAUCCAUUUGUAAGAAUAUUACGAGCAUCAAGGAGUAAAGAAGAGAUGCAGGCAGAUGACUGUCCACUUGCUACGAAUCCAGCAUACACUAAGUGCUUGGGGCCCUGCGCCCAUGUGGGAGACCUGGAAGAAGCUCCUGGCUCCUGGCUUCGGAUUGGCACAGCUCUGGCCGUUGUGGCCAAUUGGGGAGUGAACCAGCGGAUGGAAGACCUCUCUCUCUCUCUCUGCCUCUCCUUCUCUCUCUG